CGUGUUUCACAAUCACGUGUAUUUUAGAAGAAAGAAACACGUGAUCCUAUUGUUAAGACACCUACCAAUGAAAAAACUGGGUAUAUAUGGUUGACUUUUUUCCUUAACAAGCCAAACUUCCUUAUAGUUGACAAUCCAUACAAAAUAUUUGAUAGGCUAGACUCGUUUUUCUUUAAUAUUAAACUGAAUUUUUAACAUAACUAGAGGCCAAAUGAAACAUACAACUUCAAUUUGCCUAUUGUUGCUGUUGAUCUUAAAGUGCUCGUUGUCCCAACGUUUCUUUGAAUUGACCGGCCCGUGUUUCACGAGCCGUCGUAGCUGUUCUGGGAUCAUGUUCGGACUUAAUUUACCCGGACAAGUGACGUGUGAACGACGAUGUCAUUGUCUAGGAUAUACUGAAGGAAGCUGUGUGAGUGCAGAUAUAACGGACCUUUGUGCCACAGAUAGCUCGUGGAUUUGUGUUUGUUCAGGACACGGAAUAAGACACCACAGAAGAAGAAGACUUUGUUGAUAUUCCUGACAACAUUAACUUUAAACUUGUUUUUCAAUGGGAUCUUAUAUUUCCUAAAAUAUUGUGCACAUGGCAUGAAUUAAAUAUUUAAUGAUCUUCUAUGAAUAAAGUCUUAAGGUCUUUGAAAAAUUAUCAGAGAAGAAAAAAAACAGGAAUAAAAACAAUAGACUUUCUGCGGAAAUAUUGAACUUCAUUGAAAGUACAUGGAAAUCCAUGUUGAUGUUGGUUCUUUUUUUUUUCAUUUUAUUUAUUUAUUUAUUUGUUAUUAUUAUUCUUAUUAUUAUUUUUUUCUCAAAAUGCAAUAUUGUUGUUUGCUAAGUUUAAAGCUGGAGUGGCACCUUUAAGAGUCGAGACUGGCCGUUAUGAGGGUCUACCCUUAGAUUCACGCUGUUGUCCGUUUUGUGUCAUUUCAGUAGACCCUUUUUAAGUGUUCAUUAUUUGAUGAUAUAAGAAAUGAGUUAUUUAUACAUGCAGCUAGGUAAAAUAAUAACUUUUAUAAUUUGACAGAGGAACAGAAAAUUUAUGAUUUUACUCUUUACGAAUGAUGAUGCAAUCAGAUGUUGUGCAAGAGCCUGCUUUCUGAUAUAACAAUGUAGACAGUUGUUUUUUAAGUAGAUGAUAUGUAAAAUAGUUUUUAAUCCUGUGAAUCAAUUUUGGUUUUAUCUUCCUAGGUCAAACUGUUUAAACUCUAUUGCUAAAAUACACUUGUUGAUCUAAAUAUGUUUGAUUUUAUCAAACAUAUUAUAUUUUUUUUUCAACCAUUUUGUAUUGUGGAGUAUAUUGCCAAAUUAUUCCCCUUCUUUUUCUUUUACUCAUUUUAUAGCAUUUUAAAAAUAAAUAAGAAUAACAAGAGUAUUCUAGUUCUUAGGUCAAAUUAUAUGUGAUAAUGGUUACAAAUGGCUCUUAUAAAUCUCAGAUGGUUGAUCUUACAUGUAUCUUUAAUGUAUAUAAAUUUUACGUACUGUAUUUGUAAAUGUGAGAAAAAUACUUAAAUUAUCGAAUUAUACUAUAAUUCACAAUUACUAAUUGAGCCGCGUCACGACAGAACCAACAUAAUGAGUUUGCGACCAGCAUGGAUCCAGACCAGCCUGCGCAUCCGCGCAGUCUGAUCAGGAUCCAUGCUGUUCGCUAUCAGUUUCUCUACUUGCUAUAUAGGGUUUGUAAGCGAACAGCAUCCAUGGAUCCUGAUCAGACUGCGUGGAUGCGCAGGCUGGUCUGUUUCCAUGCUGGUCGCAAACCCAUUAUGUUGGUUUCGUCGUGACGCGUCUCAAUUACAAUUUCCUAAUAUUCUAUCUCUUUGCAUUAAGGCUAUUUAUCCGAGUAUUUUCAAUAUUAUUUAUAUUCUUUUACUAUUUCCUCUAUUCUGAUAAAGGUUUGCCAUAAGGUAAAAGCUUUCUCCUCUGAUAGAUAACCAGAUAUGAUAUACACGCACAUAUGUUGUUCAUUUUUAUUUGGAUUACUCUGUAAAUAUUUGUGUAUUAUACACUUAUAAAUGAAAUAGUUAUAAAUAUUGAUGAAAUGAAA